rnacentral:rRNA from 1 species
GACGGAGGAUGCAAGCGUUAUCCGGAAUUAUUGGGCGUAAAGCGUCCGCAGGUGGAUAUACAAGUCUGCUGUCAAAGUGCAGAAGCUUAACUCUGUAAAGGCGGUGGAAACUGUAGGUCUUGAGUAUGGUAGGGGUAGAGGGAAUUCCCGGUGUAGCGGUGAAAUGCGUAGAUAUCGGGAAGAACACCAGUGGCGAAAGCGCUCUACUGGGCCAUAACUGACACUGAGGGACGAAAGCUAGGGGAGCGAAAGGG